rnacentral:rRNA from 1 species
CACGUAGGGCGCAAGCGUUGUCCGGAAUUAUUGGGCGUAAAGAGCUCGUAGGUGGUUUGUUACGUCUGCUGUGAAAACCUAGGGCUUAACCCUGGGCUUGCAGUGGAUACGGGCAGACUAGAGGUAGGUAGGGGAGAAUGGAAUUCCUGGUGUAGCGGUGAAAUGCGCAGAUAUCAGGAGGAACACCGGUGGCGAAGGCGGGUCUCUGGGCCGAUACUGACGUGAGGAGCGAAAGCGUGGGGAGCAAACAGG